rnacentral:rRNA from 1 species
AUACAGAGGGUGCAAGCGUUAAUCGGAAUUACUGGGCGUAAAGCGCGCGUAGGUGGUUCAGUAAGAUGGCAGUGAAAUCCCCGGGCUUAACCUGGGAACUGCUUUCAUAACUGCUGAGCUAGAGUACGGUAGAGGGUAGUGGAAUUUCCUGUGUAGCGGUGAAAUGCGUAGAUAUUGUAAGGAACUCCAGUGGCGAAGGCGACUACCUAGACUGAUUGUGAAUCUGAGUCACGAAAGCGUUGGGAGCAAACAAGAUUAGAUACCCUGGUUGUCGACGCCGUAAACGAUGUCAACUAGCCGAUGUGAACCUUGAGUUCUUAGUGGCGCAGCUACCGCACUAAGUUGACCGCCUGGGGCGUACAGUCGCAAGAUUAAAACUCAAAUGAACUGGCGUGU